rnacentral:rRNA from 1 species
CGUGUAGGCGGGAAUACAAGUCGGAUGUGAAAUACCGUGGCUUAACCACGGGGCUGCAUCUGAAACUGUGUUUCUUGAGUGUCGGAGAGGAAAGCGGAAUUCCCAGUGUAGCGGUGAAAUGCGUAGAUAUUGGGAGGAACACCAGUGGCGAAGGCGACUUUCUGGACGAUAACUGACGCUGAGGCGCGAAAGCGUGGGGAGCAAACA